rnacentral:lncRNA from 10 species
AGAGCGGGCUACACCUGAGGAGAGGCUGGAUCUUUUGAGUAACUGGGGGAAUGGUCUGGGGUCCAAUCGCUUUGAAAUACAGUCCAAGAGCCGAAAUACUCCCCUUGGGGUUGUUAGGUGUUAAAGGCUUCAGAGAUUGUUGGAUUCUGCGGGGAUUUUUUUUUUUUAAGUAAUUUCUCGUACCCUCUCGUGUUUAUUUAUUGACCAAAUUGAAGAGUAAAUAUAUUUAUUUUUAUUUAUUUAUUUAUUUAUUUAUUUAUUUAUUUGAGACGGAGUCUCGUUCUGUCGCCCAGGCUGGAGUGCAGUGGUGCGAUCUCGGCUCACUGCCAGCUCCGCCUCCCGGGUUCACGCCAUUCUCCUGCCUCAGCCUCCGGAGUAGCUGGGACUACAGGCGUCCGCACCACGCCCGGCAUUUUUUUUUUUUUUUUGUACUUUUAGUAGAGACGGGGUUUCACCAUGUUAGCCAGGAUGGUCUCGAUCUCCCGACCUCGUGCUCCGCCCGCCUCGGCCUCUCAAAGUGCUGGGAUUACAGGCGUGAGCCACCGUGCUCGGCCAAGAAAAAUUAGCUGCACAAUUUAGAUUUAGAGUUGGGACUUAUUGAGAGUUUAAGUGUGAAAAGUGAUAAUCGAAACUUGGUAUUUAAGGAAAUUUAGCCUGAGGAUAGUCUGGUAAGAAAUGAGUUUGGAAUCGGCAAAUAACAGGUUUGUAGACUUCAAAAAACUCUCAUAUCCUCUUUCUCAGGCUGAUUAUCCGUGAUUACCUUCCUGUGGCUGCGGGGAAGGUGGAAGACACAGUCCCUGGGGAACUCAGCUUGUUGGAUUUAUCCCAACACUUACUGUGAAGCACCACUUCUGCUUCACACCAAUGCCCCACCCUCAGCCCCAAACAGUCUACAGACUUACUGGAGCCUCAUUAAGAACGUGGAUGAGGCAUGUUCCCCAUAAUGGGACUAAUGAGAAAUCACUCUGUAAUUUGUUUUCACUGUAACUUGGGGGGAUUCUACAACCUUCUCCUCCCACCCUCACUUGAGAGUGUACCUUACGGAAUGGCUGCCACAUGCCAGGAAGUAUAUCCAGUGCUCAAUUUGCAAAGAUGAAUAAGCCAAGGACUCACUAAGGAAGGUUUUGCAGUUGUCCAAGAUUAAGAUGAGCUGGGCCUAGAAUAGGGUGUUGACCCUGAUAAGCGGGGAAAGAAAGACUAAAAUAUAUUUUUGAGAAAAAAAAUUAAUAUGGAUUGGUGACUGAUUGGAUAUAGUUUAGUCCACUCCAUAAGAAUACUAAGUUUUGCAGCCUGAUUGAAGGGAACUUGGGCAGUUGAAGUAGAGAAGCCACUUCAAGACAUUCAUAUUGUGACACAGUUUUUGUCCUGCCAUUAUCUUCCUAAUAGGUCUUCUGUGCCUCCACAGAGACCUCAGGUUGAUGUCCAACUAUCUCUGCCUGGUUUUCAAGAUUUACUAUAAUCUGGCUCCAGCAAACAGACCCAGCCUCACCUCCUGAUAAUUUUCUGAGUGAAAUAAUCUGUUUCAGCCAAGGUCCCUGACCCCUUGGUUUUCCUGGUUCUUCAGCCUCUUUCGGCCACGGAUCUUUUUAAGAAUCAGAUAAAAGCUGUGGACCCUUUCCCCAGACCAGACUCUCAACUUAG